rnacentral:lncRNA from 1 species
GCCCCUAAUAAUUCGAUCUAGGAGGAAUCGUUCUCCUCUCCUUUUGCGUUGUCGCUAGGUGGUGCAGGCUUCCAGGUUCUGCUGUGAGGCUAUCUCGCCUGCACCUUUUCCGGGUUUUUUCGAAUUCGAGUUGCCUGGUACUUGGUCUUCUUGAAUCUUGAUGGGGAAGAGCAGCAGCGGUGGUCGCUGGCGUGCGGCUUUUGGACGGAUGUUGACGUGAUCACUACCGGAUUCUUGAAGCAGAAGAGCUAGGAGACACCAGCCAUCUAGCUUAGAAGACACCAACCAUCUUGCAUAAAUAAGGUGACUCUGAACAAUGUGUUGGUUUAUUGCUGGCCCGAUGCUAAUGUUUGAUGUAUUCUCCAGAAUUAAAAAUCCCAGUCUAGGAUGAUUUCAAAAUUGUAUUAACAUCAUCUGGAUGGCUUCAUCUGAAGUUUCCGUUGGGGUCCAGGGACGAGCACAUGGUGUAGAUGGUGCUAAUUAAAGGAAGUGCAUAAAUAAUCAUCUUGAUGCAAGACAUGAAGAAGAUGAUGUCCAUGAAAGGGGAAAACAUGGAAGUAAAACGCGAUUGGUUUCCAGUGGUUAAUGUGAAAGCAGAUUUACUUCAAGCAAGAGGUGGUUUCAGAAGAUAACAUGUUAUAUGAUAUGGCGUGACGUGGUUGCUGGAAGAAAUAUUUGUACAAUAACAGGAAGGCUCAUGCAGCUCGCAGUUAAUAUGGGUUUGGAAAAGAGUUAAUAUAUAUGAGACGAUCUAUUCUGGUUGCUCAAAGAAAAUUGCAGAAGAAAUUUCAGUACGAGUAAAUAUGAGCUGCUGAAAUCUGAUAGCAGAAAAGAUAUUGCAGAAGAAAUUUCUGUAAGGCAGAGCCCAACGGAUCGUGCAAAUACGGAUGCUUGCCAGAUCCAGAAUGUGUGCAUUAAGUUUUGAAUUCUUCCUGAUAUGAUUUGAUUAGUUCCAAAGCAUCCAGUUGAGAAUCUUAUGUCUCAUUCAUUUGAGAAUGAUCAGAAAGAAGAGUUUGUCCUUAAUUCUGCGCUAGCCUCAUAAUACGUAAGGUGAGCCAAAUUAAAAUAUUAGGGCCUGAAUUCUGGGCAACCGCCAAGGUACUUAAGGUGAAUCACAUUAAUAUUAUUGUUCUUUUCUGGAGAGAAUUAGAUAUUGUUGUGAAGACCUUUAAUAGUAUCUUUCCAAUGAAUCAUAUUAAUAUUAUUGUUCUUUUUUUUUAGAGAAUUAGACACUUAUUCUUGAAUACUAAGGAAAUAUCAUAUACAAGAAAGGGUUUUACUACAAAUGAUUUUAUUUCAGAUAUUCUA